AAAGUCAAAAUUUUAAAGCCCCAAAUCUAUCAAAAAAGUCGGUUUGGUUCGAGGCGUAAAUAUGGUGUUGCAUAGUGUAAUUGGCUGAAUAAUGGGUGCGAGUAAUUGAGUACAGUUUUACAGAAAUAUAUUGUGUACGUUGCAUAACUCAAACUGAGUACCGGAAAGAAAAGAGCUCAAGGAAAUCCACAAAUCAUCAGCCAAAUUUUAUACAUUUUCAUUAGCCACAAUUUGGGCAUUAAAAUUUGUACCAAUCACUUAAAUACGAAGCCGCACUCGCACCCAUACCCACCACACCGACACCUCAGAAGGUACUGGUAAGUAUUUUAUGGGUCUGGCAAUGCCCUCGACACCUUUUCGCUAGGAGUGGGGAGUGGGGGACCAUAAAUUGUCGACUGCAGCCGUUAACUGGAUAAAACUAAGCUGGCAAUCCAUCAAACCGACCAAGUGCCGAGUUUAUCAAGCGCCGACCGCAAAUGGGGCAAAUGAGAGGCUUUCGGUUUUCUAUUAACUGUCAGCCCGUUUAAUUUACAAGCACUUUUUGAGCACCUCGCCCACACUCAGGAGGUGGUCCUCCCGGUCAUGUGCUCGGGCAUUGGAAAGUGGUGAAGGUGGCCAAUAAAUAACCAAGCAGCCGAAAACGGAAAUGUAAUGUCUAUGACUGUACCUCUGCCUGUGCCUGUUCCUGUCUGAGAUGAAUAUGUUAAAGGUCAGAUGUAUCCAAAUUUAACAUGCAACGUAGAACAUAGAACGAAUAAAUGUAUAUCUCAA